rnacentral:lncRNA from 10 species
UCGGGUUCUUUUUUUUCUGUAUUAAAAGCAUUAACUUCCAAUACUGCUUUUAUAAAACACACAUGCACUGUGGUGAGGACGUUUUGUUAAAAUGAAAGGGACAAGCCGGGGCUGGACGGGGAAGCCCUAACUCCCCAAAGUGUGGCUGUCCCCAGACGUCUCUGCCUGGGUUGGGCACCAGGCCCCAGCACAGGGCCAGCGGGUAGUGGACACGCAUCAGGACUCACGUACUCACCAGGAAUCAGUGAGGGGACAAGGGAGCUGACUGGCUUCUCCGUCGAAUCUGGCCAUUGCAGGACACCUCAGGAAACUCACGAAGGGCAGGGUGGGGCUUGAUGUCUGCUCCAAUGCCCUCAGAGUCAGUUGCAGAGGCGAUGGGCCAUUGAACCAAGUCAUAGCGGGUAGAGCCAGGAUCCCUGGCCCCACUGGUGAGAGGGGGGACAGCCAGGACUUGGACCUCCACUGCCAGGGAUGUGGUGGCAGAGGUAGAGGGCACUGGCCUGUGCCAAGGAGCACGGAGACCAGGGACCACCCCUGAACAGGCCAGGAGGAGUGGGGUGUGUGCAGGGUAAGGUUGCCUGGGGAGGUCUUCGAGCCCCAGGGCCUUCACUGCCCCAAGAGUAGCUAAACUAGGGGAGUAGCUAAACCAGCCUCUGACUAGGGGGUGUGGGCUUUCAGCUUUCACAGGCCAAGCUGGGCCCAACGCCUCCCAGACUGCAGCCAGCAUGGAAGAGACCAUGGGCUUUCAGGAAGGGUCAGAGCAGGAUGUCAGGAGCCCAGAGCCCCUCAGCUCCAUUCACCCAUGGCCACGCUGCCUGUCUGUUCCCAUGGGAUUUGCUGCAGGUGCCAGAGCCAAGAUGAUUGUGGGCUCGUCUUCACCCAGGAGACCCUUAAGGCAGGAUGGGGCCGGCACUGGCUUCAGCCAGGGGAGGAAACAGGCUCCAGCCCAGACAGGCAGAAUGAAGCUCGCCCCUCACCCACUACCCCCCACUCCAGACCACUCCCUCCCAAGAAGGCCCAGGUCCUCCCACUGGCCCACGCAACUCCCACAGCCCCUCUUCUCUCUCCAUGCCAGGCCUGGGGCCUUUCCACGGCUGCUCAUCACCGCCCCUCCCCGGCCCCCCAG